rnacentral:lncRNA from 1 species
UUGAAUUUCUAGUCGUGACAGGAAAGAAGUCAAAGUCAAGAAUGAUUUGCAAGAUCCCAUCCCUUUUCAUGCUUUCUUGCUACUUGGGUAACCGUAAACUGGCUGAUCCGUGCUUACUUUUGCUUGUUCGGAUGAGAUUAGAGUCGGUCAUUCUCUGGGAUCAGUUCAUACGGUAUCUGAUUUAAGGUAUUAUAUUCCCCUUAAGUGUGAAAAAGAAAUUUGUUGAUUUUUGAGUACGACUCGUGUUUUUUUUCUAGCAGAUGCUACAGGAAAUGCAUUACUUGGUUUGGCUAUUGGUUGCCUGGAGGCUAAUGUUCUCAGGUCAAAGUCUUGUUGCCACAAGUAGCACUUUCCCUCGUUGUAACUUGAAAAUGAAACAACACGGCUAGAUUCCUGCCUCAUCAAUUG